AGAGUUUGAUCCUGGCUCAGAGACGAACGCUGGCGGCAUGCUCUAACGACAGUAGCUAGAGUCGAGCGGGCAUCAUGCAACUAUGUCAUGCGGCAGACGAGGUGAGUAGACGCGUGUGGAACGUACCUUUGUCGGUGUGCAGCGAACAACGAGCUAGUGGUAAACUUUGGUUGCCUAAUUACCCGGGAAUCAAGCCCCUUUACUGGGGAAUAGAUUUAUCGCCGAAAGAUCGGCCCGCGUCUGAUUAUGCUAGUUGGUGAUGGUAACGGCUCACCAACGGCGACGAUCACGUAGCUGGUCUGACGAGGAUGAUCAGCCACACUUCGGGACUGAGACACGCGCCCAAACUACCUAUAGGCGACGCAGAUAGUGGGGGAAUAUCUGGACAGAUGGGGCGCAAGCCUGAUCCAGCCAUGCCGCAGUGAGUGACUGAACGCC
rnacentral:rRNA from 1 species